rnacentral:rRNA from 1 species
GGUUAAGCGACUAAGCGUACACGGUGGAUGCCCUGGCAGUCAGAGGCGAUGAAGGACGUGCUAAUCUGCGAAAAGCGCCGGCGAGGUGAUAUGAACCCUUGACCCGGCGAUGUCCGAAUGGGGAAACCCAGUGCAAUCCGUUGCACUAUCGUUAACUGAAUACAUAGGUUAACGAGGCGAACCGGGGGAACUGAAACAUCUAAGUACCCCGAGGAAAAGAAAUCAACCGAGAUUCCCCCAGUAGCGGCGAGCGAACGGGGAGCAGCCCGGAGUCUGAAUCAGCUUGUGUGUUAGUGGAACGGUCUGGAAAGUCCGACGGUACAGGGUGAUAGUCCCGUACACGAAAGCACACUUGCUGUGAACUCGAAGAGUAGGGCGGGACACGUGGUAUCCUGUCUGAAUAUGGGGGGACCAUCCUCCAAGGCUAAAUACUCCUGACUGACCGAUAGUGAACCAGUACCGUGAGGGAAAGGCGAAAAGAACCCCGGCGAGGGGAGUGAAAAAGAACCUGAAACCGUGUACGUACAAGCAGUGGGAGCCUCUUUAUGGGGUGACUGCGUACCUUUUGUAUAAUGGGUCAGCGACUUAUAUUCUGUAGCAAGGUUAACCGUAUAGGGGAGCCGAAGGGAAACCGAGUCUUAACUGGGCGUUAAGUUGCAGGGUAUAGACCCGAAACCCGGUGAUCUAGCCAUGGGCAGGUUGAAGGUUGGGUAACACUAACUGGAGGACCGAACCGACUAAUGUUGAAAAAUUAGCGGAUGACCUGUGGCUGGGGGUGAAAGGCCAAUCAAACCGGGAGAUAGCUGGUUCUCCCCGAAAGCUAUUUAGGUAGCGCCUCGUGAACUCAUCUUCGGGGGUAGAGCACUGUUUCGGCUAGGGGGCCAUCCCGGCUUACCAACCCGAUGCAAACUACGAAUACCGAAGAAUGUUAUCACGGGAGACACACGGCGGGUGCUAACGUCCGUCGUGAAGAGGGAAACAACCCAGACCGCCAGCUAAGGUCCCAAAGUCAUGGUUAAGUGGGAAACGAUGUGGGAAGGCACAGACAGCCAGGAUGUUGGCUUAGAAGCAGCCAUCAUUUAAAGAAAGCGUAAUAGCUCACUGGUCGAGUCGGCCUGCGCGGAAGAUGUAACGGGGCUAAACCAUGCACCGAAGCUGCGGCAGCGACGCUUAUGCGUUGUUGGGUAGGGGAGCGUUCUGUAAGCCGUUGAAGGUGUGCUGUGAGGCAUGCUGGAGGUAUCAGAAGUGCGAAUGCUGACAUAAGUAACGAUAAAGCGGGUGAAAAGCCCGCUCGCCGGAAGACCAAGGGUUCCUGUCCAACGUUAAUCGGGGCAGGGUGAGUCGACCCCUAAGGCGAGGCCGAAAGGCGUAGUCGAUGGGAAACAGGUUAAUAUUCCUGUACUUGGUGUUACUGCGAAGGGGGGACGGAGAAGGCUAUGUCAGCCGGGCGACGGUUGUCCCGGUUUAAGCAUGUAGGCGGAGGUUCCAGGUAAAUCCGGUACCUUUUUAACGCUGAGGUGUGAUGACGAGGCACUACGGUGCUGAAGUGAUAAAUGCCCUGCUUCCAGGAAAAGCCUCUAAGCAUCAGGUAACACGAAAUCGUACCCCAAACCGACACAGGUGGUCAGGUAGAGAAUACCAAGGCGCUUGAGAGAACUCGGGUGAAGGAACUAGGCAAAAUGGUGCCGUAACUUCGGGAGAAGGCACGCUGAUAUGUAGGUGAAGCCCCUGCGGGCGGAGCUGAAAUCAGUCGAAGAUACCAGCUGGCUGCAACUGUUUAUUAAAAACACAGCACUGUGCAAACACGAAAGUGGACGUAUACGGUGUGACGCCUGCCCGGUGCCGGAAGGUUAAUUGAUGGGGUUAGCGGCAACGCGAAGCUCUUGAUCGAAGCCCCGGUAAACGGCGGCCGUAACUAUAACGGUCCUAAGGUAGCGAAAUUCCUUGUCGGGUAAGUUCCGACCUGCACGAAUGGCGUAAUGAUGGCCAGGCUGUCUCCACCCGAGACUCAGUGAAAUUGAACUCGCUGUGAAGAUGCAGUGUACCCGCGGCAAGACGGAAAGACCCCGUGAACCUUUACUAUAGCUUGACACUGAACACUGGUCCUUGAUGUGUAGGAUAGGUGGGAGGCUUUGAAGCGUGGACGCCAGUCUGCGUGGAGCCAACCUUGAAAUACCACCCUUUAAUGGCUGGUGUUCUAACGUGGACCCGUAAUCCGGGUUGCGGACAGUGUCUGGUGGGUAGUUUGACUGGGGCGGUCUCCUCCCAAAGAGUAACGGAGGAGCACGAAGGUUGGCUAAUCCUGGUCGGACAUCAGGAGGUUAGUGCAAUGGCAUAAGCCAGCUUGACUGCGAGCGUGACGGCGCGAGCAGGUGCGAAAGCAGGUCAUAGUGAUCCGGUGGUUCUGAAUGGAAGGGCCAUCGCUCAACGGAUAAAAGGUACUCCGGGGAUAACAGGCUGAUACCGCCCAAGAGUUCAUAUCGACGGCGGUGUUUGGCACCUCGAUGUCGGCUCAUCACAUCCUGGGGCUGAAGUAGGUCCCAAGGGUAUGGCUGUUCGCCAUUUAAAGUGGUACGCGAGCUGGGUUUAGAACGUCGUGAGACAGUUCGGUCCCUAUCUGCCGUGGGCGCUGGAGAAUUGAGGGGGGCUGCUCCUAGUACGAGAGGACCGGAGUGGACGCAUCACUGGUGUUCGGGUUGUCAUGCCAAUGGCACUGCCCGGUAGCUAAAUGCGGAAGAGAUAAGUGCUGAAAGCAUCUAAGCACGAAACUUGCCCCGAGAUGAGUUCUCCCUGAGACUUUAAGUCUCCUGAAGGAACGUUGAAGACGACGACGUUGAUAGGUCGGGUGUGUAAGCGCAGCGAUGCGUUGAGCUAACCGAUACUAAUGAACCGUGAGGCUUAACCUU